rfam:Schistosoma haematobium scaffold714_11, whole genome shotgun sequence.
AUCCAGCCGAAAAGUCCCAAAUAGGACGAAACGCGCGUUCUGGAU